rnacentral:rRNA from 1 species
AAGUCGAACGGAAAGGCCCUGCUUUUGUGGGGUGCUCGAGUGGCGAACGGGUGAGUAACACGUGAGUAACCUGCCCUUGACUUUGGGAUAACUUCAGGAAACUGGGGCUAAUACCGGAUAGGAGCUCCUGCUGCAUGGUGGGGGUUGGAAAGUUUCGGCGGUUGGGGAUGGACUCGCGGCUUAUCAGCUUGUUGGUGGGGUAGUGGCUUACCAAGGCUUUGACGGGUAGCCGGCCUGAGAGGGUGACCGGCCACAUUGGGACUGAGAUACGGCCCAGACUCCUACGGGAGGCAGCAGUGGGGAAUAUUGCACAAUGGGCGGAAGCCUGAUGCAGCAACGCCGCGUGCGGGAUGACGGCCUUCGGGUUGUAAACCGCUUUCGCCUGUGACGAAGCGUGAGUGACGGUAAUGGGUAAAGAAGCACCGGCUAACUACGUGCCAGCAGCCGCGGUGAUACGUAGGGUGCGAGCGUUGUCCGGAUUUAUUGGGCGUAAAGGGCUCGUAGGUGGUUGAUCGCGUCGGAAGUGUAAUCUUGGGGCUUAACCCUGAGCGUGCUUUCGAUACGGGUUGACUUGAGGAAGGUAGGGGAGAAUGGAAUUCCUGGUGGAGCGGUGGAAUGCGCAGAUAUCAGGAGGAACACCAGUGGCGAAGGCGGUUCUCUGGGCCUUUCCUGACGCUGAGGAGCGAAAGCGUGGGGAGCGAACAGGCUUAGAUAUCCUGGUAGUCCACGCUGUAAACGGUGGGUACUAGGUGUGGGGUCCAUUCCACGGGUUCCGUGCCGUAGCUAACG